rnacentral:pre_miRNA from 1 species
UUUGUACUCCCUCCGUCCGAAAAUACUUGUCAUCAAAAUGGAUAAAAAGAGAUGUAUCUAGAACUAAAAUACAUCUAGAUACAUCCCCUUUUAUCCAUUUUGAUGACAAGUAUUUCCGGACGGAGGGAGUACAAC